CCUUUUUGCAGAGGGAUAGCCCAGAGAAAUUUGGAUUAAUACCUCAUAGUAUAGUACUUUGGCAUCAAGGAACUAUUAAAGUCACAACGGCAAAAGAUGAGCAUGCGUCCCAUUAGCUAGUUGGUAAGGUAACGGCUUACCAAGGCUACGAUGGGUAGGGGUCCUGAGAGGGAGAUCCCCCACACUGGUACUGAGACACGGACCAGACUCCUACGGGAGGCAGCAGUGAGGAAUAUUGGACAAUGGGCGCAAGCCUGAUCCAGCCAUGCCGCGUGCAGGAUGACGGUCCUAUGGAUUGUAAACUGCUUUUGUACAGAAAGAAACACUACUUCGUGAAGUAGCUUGACGGUACUGUAAGAAUAAGGAUCGGCUAACUCCGUG
rnacentral:rRNA from 1 species